AUGCCGCUCCGCGAGCAAGGAGCGCCGCGAGGAGAGCGAGAGAACGAAGUGGGCUUUGGUGAUGUCGGAAUUUGCACCUAUUUAGUGAUCAGUCCGCUAGUUUCUUUGAUUCCACUCGGUGUUCCUUUUCCAUUUGCUUCCAAUAGUUCAACCUAUCCAGAAAAAUUGUCGGCCUACGAAUGUGGUUCCGAUCCCUCCGGUGAUGCCAGAAGUCGUUUCGAUAUACGAUUUUAUCUGGUUCCUAUUUUAUUUAUUAUCCCUGAUCCGGAAGUCACCUUUUCUUUUCCUUGGGCAGUACCUCCUAACAAGAUUGAUCUGUUUGGAUCUUGGUCCAUGAUGGCCUUUUUAUUGAUUUUGACGAUUGGAUCUCUCUAUGAAUGGAAAAGGGGUGCUUCGGAUCGGGAGUAA
rnacentral:rRNA from 1 species